rnacentral:rRNA from 1 species
UGGGGAAUUUUGGACAAUGGGGGCAACCCUGAUCCAGCAAUGCCGCGUGUGUGAAGAAGGCCUUCGGGUUGUAAAGCACUUUUGUCCGGAAAGAAAACGUCGUGGUUAAUACCCGUGGCGGCUGACGGUACCGGAAGAAUAAGCACCGGCUAACUACGUGCCAGCAGCUGCGGUAAUACGUAGGGUGCAAGCGUUAAUCGGAAUUACUGGGCGUAAAGCGUGCGCAGGCGGUCCGCUAAGACAGAUGUGAAAUCCCCGGGCUUAACCUGGGAACUGCAUUUGUGACUGGCGGGCUAGAGUAUGGCAGAGGGGGGUAGAAUUCCACGUGUAGCAGUGAAAUGCGUAGAGAUGUGGAGGAAUACCGAUGGCGAAGGCAGCCCCCUGGGCCAAUACUGACGCUCAUGCACGAAAGCGUGGGGAGCAAACAGGAUUAGAUACCCUGGUAGUCCACGCCCUAAACGAUGUCAACUAGUUGUCGGUCUUCAUUGACUUGGUAACGUAGCUAACGCGUGAAGUUGACCGCCU